ACCUAGCUGGCUUAGUCGGUUGAGCGUCCGACUUCGGCUCAGGCCAUGAUCUCACAGUUCACGGGUUUAAGUCCCGUGUCAGGCU
rnacentral:tRNA from 1 species